CCAGACUCCUACGGGAGGCAGCAGUGAGGAAUAUUGGUCAAUGGGCGAGAGCCUGAACCAGCCAAGUCGCGUGAAGGAUGACGGCCCUACGGGUUGUAAACUUCUUUUGUCAGGGAGCAAUUGGGUCCACGCGUGGGCUUAGCGAGAGUACCUGAAGAAAAAGCAUCGGCUAACUCCGUGCCAGCAGCCGCGGUAAUACGGAGGAUGCGAGCGUUAUCCGGAUUUAUUGGGUUUAAAGGGUGCGUAGGCGGAAUAUCAAGUCAGCGGUAAAAAUUCGGGGCUCAACCCCGUCGUGCCGUUGAAACUGAUGUUCUUGAGUGGGCGAGAAGUAUGCGGAAUGCGUGGUGUAGCGGUGAAAUGCAUAGAUAUCGCGCAGAACCCCGAUUGCGAAGGCAGCGUGCCGUGCCGCCACUGACGCUGAGGCACGAAAGCGCGGGGAUCGAACAGGAUUAGAUACCCGUGUAU
rnacentral:rRNA from 1 species